UACGGAGGAUCCAAGCGUUAUCCGGAAUCAUUGGGUUUAAAGGGUCCGUAGGCGGUUUUGUAAGUCAGUGGUGAAAGCCCAUCGCUCAACGGUGGAAACGGCCAUUGAUACUGCAAGACUUGAAUUAUUGGGAAGUAAACUUAGAAUAUGGUAGUGUAGCGGUGAAAUGCUUAGAGAUUACAUGGAAUACCAAUUGCGAGGCAGGUUACUACCAACUAUAUUGAACG
rnacentral:rRNA from 1 species